rnacentral:misc_RNA from 1 species
CACCUCCGCGACGCGCCCGAUGGUUUCCGGAACAAGGGGGACUGUCCUGUAGUACAGCGUCGCGCUGGUGGUGGACGGGUGAGAAUAGAAAAUGACGGUGAUCAGGGCGACCGUCAGCACCACGCACGCGGUGAUGCCCCAUCGCAGCUCAUACCAGACAGAGAACAGCGUGAUCUCUUUGCCAAGCCGCUUUCCUUGCGCAUAGCGGCGAUAGAGAUAAUCGGGAAAGACUGUCAGAAGCGAACAGAGGAUCAGCUCAAGCUGCUCCUCGCUCUUGCCGGCGGCUUUCGUCGCGCCGGAAGUGUCCGCAGGAGUUGUGUGAGUCGUCGUUUCCAUCGGCGGUUCGGAUGGAUCGGGGUCUG